UUAAAUCAGCUUGACCUGUAUGAAGACAAAAAUCUGAUUUCAGCAGUGUUUUCAGUGAUCUUCUUGUUUCCUGCGUGCUCAUUGCAAAACUACUGCAGUAGCCUUGGGACUCUUGGCUGGUAGCUGGGCUACGUAUGUAUAUACUACCUGCUUUUGCACCACAGUCAGCCUUCUCUGCCCCAGCAAGCAGCCUUGGUUUGAUCUGAACUGAGCUGCUACAACCACCCCUGCCUGUGUGCUGGCAGCCUCCAGCACCUGGGCCAUCAGCCCAGCCUGAGUUCAUCGCGAUAAGGGCAUGCGGCAUAGCUGGAAGCUGCAGAGAUCGCCAGAACCCGUCCCUGCUGCAGGCGAGCGUUUCUGGAGGAUAUGCUGAGCUUGGGAGUGCAGGAAAUCUCCUUCUAGGAAUACCCAGAAGAUCACUGCGAUAGCACUCCAGCAGACAGAGUACAUGUGCUCUUCUCAUCUGGGACACAGGGGAUCAAGACAGCUUGUUGACCAGGAACCACUCACCUGACUGCCAUUAUCCUAAAGCUUGAAGCUUUGCAGGAAUCCAAGAACUGCCAACAUGCCUUUCAUGUCUCAUAAUGAUUACUGCAACAGACCUCUUAAGAAAUGAACAUAGAACACCUAUGCUUGCUACAUAAAAGGGGGAAGGUUGGAGAAGAAAAUAAUUCAGAAAAACAGAAGGAAAAAGUUGUUCUCCUUGGCUAUUGAAGUUUUUCCUUCCUGCUGCUUUCUGUAAAAGCAGAAGGACUGACUGAAUGGAAAUCACACGAAGAAGUCUCCAGAUUUUUUUUUAAUCACUGCGUAGCCUACGCAUCCUCUUCCCUCCUCUCUCCCUAAGGUGAAUAUGACACAACCAGAAAAUCCAGCAGAUGAGUACUCAAGCACAGUAAGAAAGUCUGUCCAGGCUGCAGCCUCGCUAUCUGCUCUGCUAAAGCUUUAUGCCUUCUCUUAAUGGCUUUACGCCCUCUCCUAAAACAGCCUGCAUCUCUUUUGUGUGUACCUUGUAUGCUUUGGGAACAAUUACCUUUCAAGAAGAUCAAAAGGACACCUCUAAUAUCAGCCACUUGCAUUGCAAUAUUACCAAUUCAUACAUUUGUUUCCGUGUUUAAAUGACUACUUUCACAAUUUGGUUCCGCGCUUUGUUCAUACUGAGUUAUCUCAACCCACAAUAUUGUUAUUGCAAACGUCUGUUGAAAGAUUUAAAUGAACAAUUGAGGAAGCAGAAAACCACAGCUGGUCCUAUCGCUUGGACACUUUAAUCUACUUGUAUUUGAUUUUCUUCUCUAAACACAUCACUGUUGUGUUGAUGCUUCUUCUAAGGAUUAAUUAGCAAAGCAAUUAACAUGUUUUAACCUUUCUGUUUACUUACCCAUCCCUAAGGACAUACGUACCUUGGUCAGUUUGUGCUUCAAAAUUACACUUUUUGAUGUUGUUUUGUCAAGGUCAGAUUAAUUAAAUACUGCUUUACAUACAGCCAAA